UUUUAUUAGAUCAAGACCAAUCGGACUUCGGUUCGUUUCUUGGUGACUCUGAAUAACUUUGUGCCGAUCGCAUGGUCUAGCACCGGCGACGCAUCUUUCAAAUGUCUGCCUUAUCAACUGUCGAUGGUAGGUUAUGCGCCUACCAUGGUUGCAACGGGUAACGGGGAAUCGGGGUUCGAUUCCGGAGAGGGAGCCUGAGAAACGGCUACCACAUCCAAGGAAGGCAGCAGGCGCGCAAAUUACCCACUCCCGGCACGGGGAGGUAGUGACGAAAAAUAACGAUGCAGGACUCAUCCGAGGCCCUGUGAUUGGAAUGAGUACACUUUAAAUCCUUUAACGAGGACCUAUUGGAGGGCAAGUCUGGUGCCAGCAGCCGCGGUAACUCCAGCUCCAAUAGCGUAUAUUAAAGUUGCUGCGGUUAAAAAGCUCGUAGUUGGAUAUCGGUCGCGAUCAGGUGGUGCCGCCUCGCGGUGUGCACUGCCUCGAUUGGACAAUCCACCGGACUGUCCGGGGUGCUCUUAACCGAGUGUCCUGGGUGGCCGGUACGUUUACUUUGAACAAAUUAGAGUGCUUAAAGCAGGUGCUCCGCGCCUGAAUAUCACAGCAUGGAAUGAUGGAAUAGGACCUCGGUCUUAUUUUGUUGGUUUUCUGGACUUGAGGUAAUGGUUAAUAGAGACAGACGGGGGCAUUCGUACUGCGACGCUAGAGGUGAAAUUCUUGGACCGUCGCAAGACGAACAACUGCGAAAGCAUUUGCCAAGAAUGUUUUCAUUAAUCAAGAACGAAAGUUAGAGGUUCGAAGGCGAUCAGAUACCGCCCUAGUUCUAACCAUAAACGAUGCCAACCAGCGAUCCGCAGACGUUACUUCAAUGACUCUGCGGGCAGCUUCCGGGAAACCAAAGUUUUUGGGUUCCGGGGGAAGUAUGGUUGCAAAGCUGAAACUUAAAGGAAUUGACGGA
rnacentral:rRNA from 1 species